rnacentral:rRNA from 1 species
UACGAAGGGGGCUAGCGUUGCUCGGAUUGACUGGGCGUAAAGGGCGCGUAGGCGGAUAGUACAGUCAGGCGUGAAAUUCCUGGGCUUAACCUGGGGGCUGCGCUUGAUACAUCCAGACUUGAGUGGGGAAGAGGGUCGUGGAAUUCCCAGUGUAGAGGUGAAAUUCGUAGAUAUUGGGAAGAACACCGGUGGCGAAGGCGGCGACCAGGUCCUUUACUGACGCUGAGGCGCGAAAGCGUGGGGAGCAAACAGG